rnacentral:rRNA from 1 species
GUAGGUGGCAAGCGUUGUCCGGAAUUAUUGGGCGUAAAGCGCGCGCAGGCGGUCCUUUAAGUCUGAUGUGAAAGCCCACGGCUCAACCGUGGAGGGUCAUUGGAAACUGGGGGACUUGAGUACAGAAGAGGAAAGCGGAAUUCCAAGUGUAGCGGUGAAAUGCGUAGAGAGUUGGAGGAACACCAGUGGCGAAGGCGGCUUUCUGGUCUGUAACUGACGCUGAGGCGCGAAAGCGUGGGGAGCAAACAGGAUUAGAUACCCUGGUAGUCCACGCCGUAAACGAUGAGUGCUAAGUGUUAGGGGGUUUCCCGCCCCCUUAGUGCUGCAGCUAACGCAUUAAGCACUCCGCCUGGGGAGUACGGCCGCAAGGCUG